ensembl:snRNA U1 U1 spliceosomal RNA
UGACAUACGAUUCAAGUUGUGAGCAAAAGCCUGUAGACUCUAGACCAAUCAGAACGCGUAACUGUCUACAGUCGUUGCACUACUGUAGACUCGACCCCUGCGAAUUUCCCAAAUGUGGAAUUCUCGAUUGCAUAAUUUCUGGUAGUGGGGGACUGCGUUCGCUCUCUCCCCUG